rnacentral:rRNA from 1 species
AGCGAACGCUGGCGGCAGGCCUAACACAUGCAAGUCGAACGGACCCUUCGGGGUUAGUGGCGGACGGGUGAGUAACACGUGGGAACGUGCCUUUAGGCUCGGAAUAGCUCCUGGAAACGGGUGGUAAUGCCGAAUGUGCCCUUGGGGAAAGAUUUAUCGCCUUUAGAGCGGCCCGCGUCUGAUUAGCUUGUUGGUGAGGU